AGCUGGUCUUGGGUCUCCUGAUAAAAAACUCUGAGACCGGGGCUUGGUUUACCAUGCAAAAGACCUAUAUCCUGGGGAUCCCUAAGAUGAAGCUGAGAAUGAAGACCGCACAGUGAACCGAGCUGCAUUUCCUUGAAUAGAGAAGGAAUUUUGAACUCCAUUGUCAGAUACUGGGAUCAGAACCCCUCGUGUGAACAGUUGUUGGGAAGCAGGAAGGAGCCAUUGUGAGUGGAAAUGCCUGGUGGUGGGCUUCACACAGAGCAUCGCCUCCAUAAUGUGACUCCUGCCCGCUACCUUUCCUCCUUACUCUGGUCAUGUAUUAUUGCAGAUGCCUGGAGCUGCCCCCACUGAGAUGAUCCCCGAGGCUGGGGUCAUGGGUCAUGGGGCCAUGGAGUCAUGGCAGAGGCAUAUAAGGGUGGGGCCGUGCAAGAGGUCCACCCCGAUGCCAGCAACGGGGUGUAAAUGCCUGAAGAAUUUAAAAACGAUUAUAAAACCAGCUAAAAUGAGAUUUGCUUUUCAUUACCACCAUGUGCUCCUGAUUCUAAAUAAUGUCAUGAUAACAUAUCUUCCCUGGAAACAGUUUUUAAUGAUCUAAAUUUGAAGCAAUAGCUGUGGUUAUUGUUGGGUUUCAGUGCUAUGUGUAAGCUUCAAAUCAGCACAUUUUUAUUAUGUUUCCUUCAAUACACAUUGUAUUUUAUAUGAAAGUGAAUUCAGAGAAUUCCUAGUUUUGUGGGAAUAAGCUACACGCUUUUAUUUCAUGAACAAGUUCAUAAAGGUUUGGAAUCAUUCGAGCUUACGUCACACGGGGACUGUUUCCCCGACGCCAUUGUACGGCACAUUCCUGCAUUUAAACACUAGAUUUGAGGUAAACAAUCAUUGCAAAAGAUAAAGAAACGGAAUUUGGGUUACAUCCUUUCUGUCAUUCUUUGUGAGCAUUUUGAGUAUUUAUCUCUGUUUGAAAUGUGAAACAAUGACAUUAGUAAACCUGGGGUAGCAUGUUGUUGUUAAGUGUAAAUUUUAGUUCAUAUGUGAAACAUCUUACUGAAUGUGUGCUCUUCUUUUACAAUUAUGAUUGUUUUUAAAUGAAAGAAUGAAUCCCGUAAAUAAAA